CCUACGGGUGGCUGCAGUGGGGAAUAUUGGGCAAUGGGCGCAAGCCUGACCCAGCCAUGCCGCGUGAGUGACGAAGGCCUUAGGGUUGUAAAGCUCUUUCGGCGGGGACGAUGAUGACGGUACCCGCAGAAGAAGCCCCGGCUAACUUCGUGCCAGCAGCCGCGGUAAUACGAAGGGGGCGAGCGUUGUUCGGAAUCACUGGGCGUAAAGGGCACGUAGGCGGCCGUGCAAGUUGGGCGUGAAAGCCCCGGGCUCAACCCGGGAUGUGCGCUCAA
rnacentral:rRNA from 1 species